rnacentral:rRNA from 1 species
UACGGGGGGGGCAAGCGUUGUUCGGAAUUACUGGGCGUAAAGGGCUCGUAGGCGGCCAACUAAGUCAGACGUGAAAUCCCUCGGCUUAACCGGGGAACUGCGUCUGAUACUGGAUGGCUUGAAUCCGGGAGAGGGAUGCGGAAUUCCAGGUGUAGCGGUGAAAUGCGUAGAUAUGUGGAGGAACACCGAUGGCGAAGGCAGCCUUCUGGGCCAACACUGACGCUCAUGCACGAAAGCGUGGGGAGCAAACAGG